rnacentral:rRNA from 1 species
AACGUAGGAGACAAACGUUAUCCGGAGUUACUGGGCGUAAGGGCGUGUAGGUGGUUACGUAAGUCUGGCGUGAAAUUUCUCGGCUUAACCGAGGCAGGUCGUCGGAUACUGCGAGACUAGAGGACGGUAGAGGCGUGUGGAAUUCCGGGUGUAGUGGUGAAAUGCGUAGAGAUCCGGAGGAACACCAGUGGCGAAGGCGACACGCUGGGCCGUACCUGACACUGAGGCGCGAUAGCAUGGGGAGCAAACAGG